CUGAAGUAUCAAUAAUGAGCUGUUGCUGAUAUCGUGCACGCUCGUUAUUCUUCAUUUCUCCAUCAUUUGUGCAUCACUUGUGUGGAUCACAAUUAGGACUGCUUUGCAAAGUUGCUAUUUGCGGGGCUUUCCUUGUAAUCUUUUGAUCCACAUGUUUUAUUUUUUACAAACAUUGUGUAAUGAACGUCAUUAGAUCAUAACAUGAAA
rnacentral:misc_RNA from 1 species